AACGAACGCUGGCGGCAUGCCUAACACAUGCAAGUCGAACGAGGUCUUCGGACUUAGUGGCGGACGGGUGAGUAACACGUGGGAACGUGCCUUUAGGUUCGGAAUAACUCAGGGAAACUUGUGCUAAUACCGAAUGUGCCCUUCGGGGGAAAGAUUUAUCGCCUUUAGAGCGGCCCGCGUCUGAUUAGCUAGUUGGUGAGGUAAAGGCUCACCAAGGCUACGAUCAGUAGCUGGUCUGAGAGGAUGACCAGCCACAUUGGGACUGAGACACGGCCCAAACUCCUACGGGAGGCAGCAGUGGGGAAUCUUGCGCAAUGUGCGAAAGCCUGACGCAGCCAUGCCGCGUGGAUGAUGAAGGUCUUAGGAUUGUAAAAUCCUUUCACCGGUGAAGAUAAUGACUGUAGCCGGAGAAGAAGCCCCGGCUAACUUCGUGCCAGCCGCCGCAGUAAUAC
rnacentral:rRNA from 1 species